GAUUGUAUUAAAGCUCUCUGAUUGGUUAUAGAUGUUUUAUUUGAAUCAAUCAGAGAGCUUUAAUACAAUCAUCCAAUCAGGAGACAGAGUCGGGAUCUGACCCUAAUUCAAACUGAUUGGCGCGGCUCGAUGAAUCAAUUGCCGCUUUCAACCAGAGGUUUAUUUUUCCUCUCCCCUUCGUAAUGAUAAUAAUAAAAAUAAACCUCUGGAACCAGGGUAGACAGGUGCCACAAAACUUUUGAAUUUCAACAAACGUCAAUCCCCCGCCCCCUGCUCAAUGUUGUGUCCCAUUUAUCGUCAGGUUUGAUGUGUUUUGGUUGGAGCAACAUUGAUUGGGGUGGGGGAGGGGGAGGGGAGCAGUAUUGUGUGUAAAAAACUGUAGUGAUCCACUUACAAUCUAAAACUACAUGUGUCCCAACAACUUCUGAAAGUGAUUGUAG